ACUUCCUUGACAACAUCUCCAAACAGAACUUGGAACCCUUGCUAACGGGUGUCACAAUCUAGUAACAGCCAUCUCCCAAGCUCACUUGGCUGCAGACUGUCAACGGUGAACAUGCUGAGCUGCUUCUCCACUUCGAGAGGCCACAGCCUCAGGACCCCAGGUAGAGAAAGUAUCUGUGAAAGAUUAAGAAGAUGGCUGACUCCAUCCAGAUGCCACAGGCCAUGCUGCAGCAGCCGCAGGACUGUCACAGACACCCCAGGGACUGGCUCCCUGGGAGUGACCAUCAGUGACCUACCAAAAUCAAGGUGUAUAUGUUGAUCACAUCUUGUAAAUGCAGAGAAGAGGAAGAGCCAGUGUUCAGGAUACAUCCGCCUUUGUUCUGGAAAAUAGGCUGAGUAUCAUCUGAGCUCCCAGGCAGAUGCAGAUGCCCUCACCCCUGGGCCCUCGUGGAAACACUACCACCUCAAUUGUUUGUCCCUGUCACAGGAUGGAAACAGCAAAUCCUUCGUGGGGAUAACGGUUCCAAGGAGCUGGGCUGCAGCUGCCUUCAAGGAGCACACAAGGUUCAAUUCUUGGGGAAAGGAGUAAAGACAACCACAUAAGGAUAAGAGACAAAGAGGGGUUUGUAUCCUACACCUUGGAGAAGAACAGGACUUGCACAGACAGAAGAGAGUCAGAGGGCAAAGCCUACAGCAGGCACAGCCUGAAUUUUCUGUACAGGAAAGGCAGGCCCAAGAACAUGCCAAGGAACCCUGAGCAGAAUCAGCCCCAGGACCAUGGCUACCCACUGGAAGCCAGCAGGAGCCAACGGGGAAGCUACCCAGGAGCAAACCGGAAGUCACCAGGAGCGAAGUGGAAGUUACCCAGGAGGAAGCAUCAGGGCCUGCUUUCUUUGAAGACGUGGGUUCUGAACAGUAGCAGUUGGCCACCCCUUGGCAGGCAGGGCUUCAGGGCCUGCCAGGGAUCAUAGUGAUCCCUCAUACUGGAAGUGGGGCCAAGUCUAGAACUCCACCAGAGGUGA
rnacentral:lncRNA from 1 species